GGGCUUGCUUCAACAGCACAAACACUAAAAUUGAAAUGAUACAAAGAAGAUUAGCAUGAAUCCUGAGCAAGGAUGACAUGCAAAUUCAUGAAGCAUUCUGUAUUUUU
ensembl:snRNA U6 U6 spliceosomal RNA